UAUUUUAUACAGUAGAGUGUAAUCUAGCCAGUGUGACUAGCCUUGUUUGUUCCAAAGAUUAAAUUACAUUAUUGUAAUUACAGAUAUAAUCGAUUUUACUCCCUAUUGAUUAAUUUUAGCUUUCCAUUGUCCUUUUUUCCUACAUUUUUUUUCUUUUAAAAUUUUAUUAGGGAUAGAUGUUUUUCAACCACAUGUAUCUCUGGCAUAUUUGAGAAGUAGUACACUCUGUUUUAUUAAAUAAAGGCUACAUAGAAAUUUUAACACAAUACAUACCUAAAAUAAAUCAACGUCCCUUCCACCUUGAACAUUAUUAUUCUGUGGACAUUUAACUACAGUCAUUCCCCUUCCAAUCUAUAUAUUAUUGGUGUUUAUUUUAUUUCUUUAACCACAUAUAAUGAAUGAUGCAAUUAUUGUGCUGAAGAGUCCAUGUUAUACAGUUAUUCACGUAUUUAAUACUUUCUUUUCUUGUCCAUUUUCUCCUGAAUCUUAGACCUUCCAUCUGGAAUCACAUUUCUUUCACUUGAAGUACAUGAUUUAGAACUUUCCAUAGGUAGAGUUCAGGACCAUUAGAUGUACAAAUUCAGAAUAUCAUGGUUUCUCCCUGAGUUGAAGAAAUUGAAGUGACAGCAAAUGAAGCACGGUAUUGAAACAUUGGACCGCAUUGUUCAUCACAAAUGAUGGAGGUCUCUUCACCAUACACACACCCUUCCAAAAUGUGGCUGCCUGAUCCCGCUUCGUAUGAAUUUCCAACAUGAAAACUUCCAGGAUUCUCUAAUCGUUUUCACACUUUGUAGAUGUUGGAGGAUUCCAAGUUUGCAUCAGAAAGUGCAGUUGGCAAGUGAUCUCUUGAAACAACACUGCAGGCAAUUCAAUUUAUCUAUUUUUUAAUUCCCAAACAGGAAAUGUUUGGAGCCCAGAUCAAAACAGAAGCUCGCAGAACAGGAGUUACUCAACUCACAGCUCUUAACUCAAGUAUUAUUCCUCAGAGGGAUCUAUCUUCCUUCUUAAGCAAGCAUGUAUACCCGUUUUAAGGCUCCAAUAGGUUUUCAGUGCCUUAAUUGAAUGGCUCUCAGAGAUGGCUACAUGCAUUUCACAACACAUUUUCUGUUCAUUUAUAAAAUGGCAUUGCUAAGGACACAGAUUACAAGCAAUUCUUCACUAGAAAGAUUUCUCAUCGCAUUCUAUAAUGACACUACAGGCAAUAAACCAUGGACUUUCAUUCUCCUUGACAAAGGGACACUGUACAGGACAGCUGUUAAAGACUCUCUCCCAUAAAUGACAAGCUAGCUAACACUCUAUGAGUGCCGGCUUAUUCAGUCUGUUCAGAUGGUAAGUUCAAACUCAUGAGUCUCUAAAGAGUUUACAACUAGCUUUUUAUUCUGAAUACAGGUCACAUCAUGAACAGAGCUACAUUCAUGUCAGACUGGGUAUGAAGUUUACUCCCCUCAAGAACACUAGGGCAAAGAGCUUGCCCAUAUCAAAAAUGUAUUACAUGCAUUACAAGAAUUAACUGUAAUCACUUUCUCUCUAUAUAUAUAUAUUUGGCUGCCUAACAAAAUAUUUGCUUGUUAAAUCUCAUUUCGAUGUUUAAUUAUUAGAGGAAAAACCUGAACUAACACAGCACAUUAGGAAAUUAAAAUUUAAAAAGUAAUAUUAGUAUUUCAAAAUAUAUAAAUUAAAUUCAAAGUAUUCAUAAACAUUUACAAAAAGAGCUAUAGGGAAAAUAAAGAUGAAGAAUUUUAAAAAUUAAUAUAGAACUGUAAUAUAUAAAUCUAGGUAUUAAAAUAUGUUUCAACAUUAUAAUGAAGAUAAAUUGAAUAGGUAUAAUAUGUAUUCAUUUAUGUGAAGACAAAAAAUGACUAAGGAAACCUUGAGGGUUAUACCAUUAUUUAAACAUGACUACAAUGUAGAAGAGUGCCAUACAUUAUAGGAUACUUUAAAAUAAUAUGAGAAACUCCAAUUAAUAUUUCUCUUAGGUCAGCAACUACAUGGUUGCUAUCACUCUUUUCUUCCACAUCACUGGCAGACACUACAAGGUACACAGAGUUCUCUUUCCCACUAAGCGCAAUCCUUGUCAAGAUACCUUCUAAUAAUAAAUAGGAAAGCAUUAUUUGUCACAUUUGUCUUAAUCAUAGAGUUUAGCUCAAUUUCACUUGAAGAGUAGCAGAACAUGCCACCCUAAUUUACAACAGUAGGAGUUUAACACGUCACCCCAAAAUAUGCCACUUUUUGGUAUAUUGAUUACUUUGAGCUGUAGGCAUUUACAAAACAGCAGAUUCAGGGAGAGGUUUUCUCUGAACUCCCUUUAUCUACCUAAAGUCAGAUCCUCAAAAAGGAACUCAAUUGUUAUAGACUCUCUCUCCCUAGGAGCUUCAUCAACUAGCAAAGAUUGAUUCUUAUCACAGGAGAACAGACUAGCAGUGGACGGAACACCCAGACAAACUUUGUCACAAACUAUUACAUCUCCCAUCUACUCUUCUAAGAACCCAUUUAUCCUUCCAAAGAGCUAUUUACUCUAAGAGGCUUAUAAUCCCCUUCCCUUUCCCUAUUAAGAUAAUAUUUAAUCCUGAAUUCUAAAGACACCUCUUUGAGUUACUCAUC